rnacentral:lncRNA from 1 species
GGUUUAAGAUUUAGGGUUUAGAGUUUAGGGUUUAGAGUUUAGGAUUUAGAGUUAAGGGGUGUGAUUUAAGAUUUAGGGUUUAGAGUUUAGAGUUUAGGGUUUAGAGUUUGAGAGAGUUUAGAGUUUAGAGUUGAAGAGUCGGAUUUUGAGAUAAGAUUUCAAAUUUUGAAAAAUUAAAAAAAUUAAAAUUUUCAAAAGAUAAAAUACUAUUUUGGUCAUUUUAGUUUUUACUAUUUUUGUGAUAUAAACCUAGAAAGAUGCUAUUUUGGAGAUUUGUCCG